UUUGGACCCCUGAACAUCAUCUUUAUUGUCAUGAUUUAAAUUUCCAAACCGUCAAACAAACAAGUAAUGCAGAGAGAAGCUGAAAUCCACCAAAUCAAACACCACAAGUACCGUGUUCACCCAGCACUUCAAGGAAUUAAUUUUAUCAUCAUCGGCUCAUUUCUCAAGGAACCCAAAAGUACCUUCAUCAAAACAAACUCUGCUUUAGCAGAAAGAAAAACAAUAAAAUCAAACACAGCAGUUUUGGUCAGUUGCUGGCAAAGUAACAAAGUCUUGCAUUUUGUGCUUUUUUUCUCCUAUUAUCUGAGGUUGCAGAAGGCACAUGUGCAUCGUUCAGUUCAUGGAAUUGCGCUUUAAGCUUUGCUUAGUGUUUCUCCGAUGAAAUAAGACAAGUGUGCGAGUGUACGUACGACACAUGAAGCGCCCUCUGAGCCGCUUCAGUCCCCAUAAACCUGGCAGUGUAAAACCAAAGCCAUUUUUAUGAUUAUCUGCUAUGUACAGUACAGAAAGACAGCAAAUGUGUUUAGUGUCUGAGAUAUUUUAAGGUUAGUAGUGAAUUAUGGAUAAACAUGUACGCCGAUGCCAUAUUUGGAGUGUAAACUUCAGGAAUAUUGUGGCCCAUAGAUUGGAAAGCAUGCCGUUAUGUCGCCCUCGUUAGUGCCUCUCAUGUUCCUCUUUAUCCAGAAAGUCCUGAAAAACAUCCACAGCUGCUCUGAAAGUAGAACACCAGCGAACUGUACGAGACUACUUUAAAGAUCCAGUGUAUAGUUUCAGGGGAUCUUUUAGAGAAAUGGGAAGGAAACAACAAGACUGAGACACAAAAUGACAACACCGAGACACAAAAUGACAAAAACGAGAGACAAAACUACAAAAACGAGACACAAAAUGACAAAAGACACAAAACGACAAAACUGAGACAUAAAACGACAAAACCGAGAUACAAAAUGACAAAAAAGAAGACAGGAAACGACAAAACCGAGAUACAAAAUGACAAGACACAAAAUGACAAAACUGAGACACGAAAUGACAAACGAGACAGAAAAUGACAAAAACAAGAGACAAAAUGACAAAAAUGUGGCACAAAAUAACAAAAAUGACAAAAACAAGACACAAAAUGACAAAAGUGAGACAAAAAAUGACAAAAGCGAGACACAAAAUGACAAAACCGAGAAAAAAAAAUGACAAAAGUGAGGCACGAAACGACAAAAUUGAGACACAGAAUGACCAAAAUGAGAUGGGGAACCUACG
ensembl:lncRNA